GACGAACGCUGGCGGCGUGCUUAACACAUGCAAGUCGAACGGAAAGGCCCUGCUUUUGUGGGGUGCUCGAGUGGCGAACGGGUGAGUAACACGUGAGUAACCUGCCCUUGACUUUGGGAUAACUUCAGGAAACUGGGGCUAAUACCGGAUAGGAGCUCCUGCUGCAUGGUGGGGGUUGGAAAGUUUCGGCGGUUGGGGAUGGACUCGCGGCUUAUCAGCUUGUUGGUGGGGUAGUGGCUUACCAAGGCUUUGACGGGUAGCCGGCCUGAGAGGGUGACCGGCCACAUUGGGACUGAGAUAAGGCCCAGACUCCUACGGGAGGCAGCAGUGGGGAAUAUUGCACAAUGGGCGGAAGCCUGAUGCAGCAACGCCGCGUGCGGGAUGACGGCCUUCGGGUUGUAAACCGCUUUCGCCUGUGACGAAGCGUGAGUGACGGUAAUGGGGAAAGAAGCACCGGCUAACUACGU
rnacentral:rRNA from 1 species